rnacentral:rRNA from 1 species
UACGGGGGGGGUAAGCGUUGUUCGGAAUUACUGGGCGUAAAGGGCUCGUAGGCGGCCAACUAAGUCAUACGUGAAAUCCCUCAGCUUAACUGGGGAACUGCGUGUGAUACUGGAUGGCUUGGAUGUGGGAGAGGGAUGCGGAAUUCCAGGUGUAGCGGUGAAAUGCGUAGAUAUCUGGAGGAACACCGGUGGCGAAGGCGGCAUCCUGGACCAGUAUUGACGCUGAGGAGCGAAAGCCAGGGGAGCAAACGGG